UUGACAAAAAGAAUCUUCCAUGCGCCGCCGCUACCUCCAACCAUCCGCGGCCGCCGCCCCCAGGCCCUAACCUCGCCCUCUCUAUCUCCCCGAUCCGCCAGGCCCGAGCCCUCGACAAACACGUGACAGCCACCACCGCUCCUUCCUAAUCCACGCGUGAUGCCCUCCGCGGUCUGGGGCGCGCCUCCUGCUGGCACUGGUCAUCUCCGGGCACUGCGGCGCUGCCUGCACGCGCACCAUCGUGGGCUGAAGCGCCGGCGGCGGAAGCACACGAGAUCCCCUCCCCGAUCAAGACAGUGGUGGUGGUAGCGAUGGAAAACCACCGCAAGCCUGUGCGGGCAUGGGACAUGUCUGCUCACGCGUACGUCGACGCCGUCGAUCUCCGACGCUGCCGUGCCAACUCCGUCGUCGGCCAGCGAAGAUGGAAUGCAUAUGAUGUUUUUUUUUGGGGGGAGGGGGGGGGGGAAUGUGGAUAGCACUGAGGUUGAUUUUGAUAUGUCUUAUUUUGCUAAUCAUGUUGUUGAACAAGCCUCUCAGUCUACUAUAGGAAACAAGAAGAUAACAUGUUGGUGUUAGCAUGGCUAGACGUGGGAAUGUAGACAUUAGAAGUAUAAACAUUAGAGAUACAGCUGUUAAAAAUGGUUCAUUUGUUUGUUACAAGAUAUGCAUUAAAUAGAGGUAGGAGAAAGUAGGGAGGCAAAUAUGAUGGAACUGAUAGAGUUCACAACUAAGUAGGGGGUGGAAUCUAGAUGAGGGAGCCCUACUUUGAAGGGCAGGGGGUCAAAAUUUGAGGGUUCGGUUGGAGAUGCUCUAAGGUGUUUGGCUUCUGGGGAAAGGUAUGUGGCUUGUGAUGAUCUUAAUUUUCCUGUGCUCUUAAUUUUCACGAUGUUGUAGAUUGUUUAUUACUCAUCACAUAUUUACUAUUUUCACUUAAGUGUUAUGUGAAGAUUUAUUAUUUCUUGAGGCAUGACCUCUUUGUGCAUUUGACCUCAAUUGUUUUGGUAGCAAGGACAUGAGGAGCUUGAUGCAGCCUGCCUACCGGAGCAUGAAGAAUCAAAGAGGUGAGAAAUAUUGCUUUCAUUGCAGGCUGUAAUUAACUCUUGAUGAUACUUGCUGGGAGGCCACUGGGGCUCUGAGGAGCGCUGCUCACUCUAAACAACACGACGCUUGAGAUGUACUUCAUCGUUCUCGGAUUGAAGAUAAAUAUUUGGACAUUAUGCUUACCUGCAUAUUUCGAGCUAUGCUUGCCUGUAUUACUCUUUUUGCUACAGUUUUAGUCACAAUUUCAGUUUAUUUUUGGCUGAGGACAGAGGUUAAUUCUCUAUCUUUGUUGUCAUGCAAAGACGUCUAUGUGUGUAUCCACUAUAUUGUGAUAUCAUUGUUGUCAUGUAAGUAACCUUUAUUUGGUAUGUUGGUUGUCAUCAGAAUCAUGUUUUUUUAUUCUAAUAUUAUAAUAUGUGAUCAA